GAUGAAGAACGUAGCGAAAUGCGAUAAGUAAUGUGAAUUGCAGAAUUCAGUGAAUCAUCGAAUCUUUGAACGCACCUUGCGCUCCUUGGUAUUCCGAGGAGCAUGCCUGUUUGAGUGUCAUGAAAUUCUCAACCUUUUCAGCUUUCUUUGAUGAUCAGGCUUGGAUGUGGGAGUAUGCGGGCUUCUCAGAAGUCGGCUCUCCUGAAAUGCAUUAGCGGGACCUUUGUUGCCUGGCUUUGGUGUGAUAAUUAUCUACGCCAUUGUAGUCAAGCAGCUUAAAAUGAGGUUUCAGCUUCUAACCGUCUCCCCUGAGACAACUUUUUGACAAUUUGACCUCAAAUCAGGUAGGACUACCCGCUGAACUUAAGCAUAUCAAUAAGCGGAGGA
rnacentral:misc_RNA from 1 species